rnacentral:rRNA from 1 species
CGCAAGUAGAGUGGCGAACGGGUGAGUAAUACAUCGGAACAUUUCCAGUAGCGGGGGAUAACCUGUCGAAAGAUAGGCUAAUACCGCAUACGACCUACGGAUGAAAGCGGGGGACCUUCGGGCCUUGCGCGAUUGGAGCGGCCGAUGUUAGAUUAGGUAGUUGGUGGGGUAAAGGCUCACCAAGCCGACGAUCUAUAGCUGGUCUGAGAGGACGACCAGCCACACUGGAACUGAGACACGGUCCAGACUCC